rnacentral:misc_RNA from 1 species
GAUGAAGAACGUAGCGAAAUGCGAUAAGUAAUGUGAAUUGCAGAAUUCAGUGAAUCAUCGAAUCUUUGAACGCACCUUGCGCCCUUUGGCCAUUCCGAAGGGCAUGCCUGUUUGAGUAUCAUGAACACCUCAACUCUUCAUGGUUUUCCAUGAUGAGCUUGGACUUUGGGGGUCUUGCUGGCCUGUGGGUCGGCUCCUCUCAAAUGAAUCAGCUUGCCGGUUUUUGGUGGGCAUCACAGGUGUGAUAACUAUCUACGCUUGUGGUUUUCCGCCAGGUAACCUCCAGCGAUGGAGGUUCGCUGGAGCUCACAAACGUCUCUCCUCAGCGAAGACAGCUCUUGAACGUUUGAUCUCAAAUCAGGUAGGACUACCCGCUGAACUUAAGCAUAUCAAUAAGCGGAGGA